CCUGGCUCAGGAUGAACGCUAGCUACAGGCUUAACACAUGCAAGUCGAGGGGCAGCAUGUGUCUUAGCGUUGCUAAGGCCGAUGGCGACCGGCGCACGGGUGAGUAACACGUAUCCAACCUGCCGUCUACUCUUGGACAGCCUUCUGAAAGGAAGAUUAAUACAAGAUGGCAUCAUGAGUCCGCAUGUUCACAUGAUUAAAGGUAUUCCGGUAGACGAUGGGGAUGCGUUCCAUUAGAUAGUAGGCGGGGUAACGGCCCACCUAGUCUUCGAUGGAUAGGGGUUCUGAGAGGAAGGUCCCCCACAUUGGAACUGACACACGGUCCAAACUCCUACGGGAGGCAGCAGUGAGGAAUAUUGAUCAAUGGGCGAGAGCCUGACCCAGCCAAGUAGCGUGAAGGAUGACUGCCCUAUGGGUUGUAAACUUCUUUUAUAAAGGAAUACAGUCGGGUAUGGAUACCCGUUUGCAUGUACUUUAUGAAUAAGGAUCGGCUAACUCCGUGCCAGCAGCCGCGGUAAUACGGAGGAUCCGAGCGUUAUCCGGAUUUAUUGCGUUAAAGGGAGCGUAGAUGGAUGUUUAAGUCAGUUGUGAAAGUUCGCGGCUCAACCGUAAAAUUGCAGUUGAUACUGGAUAUCUUGAGUGCAGUUGAGGCAGGCGGAAUUCGUGGUGUAGCGGUGAAAUGCUUAGAUAUCACGAAGAACUCCGAUUGCGAAGGCAGCCUGCUAAGCUGCAACUGACAUUGAGGCUCGAAAGUGUGGGUAUCAAACAGGAUUAGAUACCCUGGUAGUCCACACGGUAAACGAUGAAUACUCGCUGUUUGCGAUAUACUGCAAGCGGCCAAGCGAAAGCGUUAAGUAUUCCACCUGGGGAGUACGCCGGCAACGGUGAAACUCAAAGGAAUUGACGGGGGCCCGCACAAGCGGAGGAACAUGUGGUUUAAUUCGAUGAUACGCGAGGAACCUUACCCGGGCUUAAAUUGCAGAUGAAUUACGGUGAAAGCCGUAAGCCGCAAGGCAUCUGUGAAGGUGCUGCAUGGUUGUCGUCAGCUCGUGCCGUGAGGUGUCGGCUUAAGUGCCAUAACGAGCGCAACCCUUGUUGUCAGUUACUAACAGGUUCCGCUGAGGACUCUGACAAGACUGCCAUCGUAAGAUGUGAGGAAGGUGGGGAUGACGUCAAAUCAGCACGGCCCUUACGUCCGGGGCUACACACGUGUUACAAUGGGGGGUACAGAGGGCCGCUACCACGCGAGUGGAUGCCAAUCCCCAAAACCUCUCUCAGUUCGGACUGGAGUCUGCAACCCGACUCCACGAAGCUGGAUUCGCUAGUAAUCGCGCAUCAGCCACGGCGCGGUGAAUACGUUCCCGGGCCUUGUACACAC
rnacentral:rRNA from 1 species